CAAGCGUUAUCCGGAAUUAUUGGGCGUAAAGCGCGCGUAGGCGGUUUUUAAGUCUGAUGUGAAAGCCCACGGCUCAACCGUGGAGGGUCAUUGGAAACUGGAAAACUUGAGUGCAGAAGAGGAAAGUGGAAUUCCAUGUGUAGCGGUGAAAUGCGCAGAGAUAUGGAGGAACACCAGUGGCGAAGGCGACUUUCUGGUCUGUAACUGACGCUGAUGUGCGAAAGCGUGGGGAUCAAACAGGAUUAGAUACCCUGGUA
rnacentral:rRNA from 1 species